AGUGAACGCUGGCGGUAGGCCUAACACAUGCAAGUCGAACGGCAGCACAGUAAGAGCUUGCUCUUACGGGUGGCGAGUGGCGGACGGGUGAGGAAUACAUCGGAAUCUACUUUUUCGUGGGGGAUAACGUAGGGAAACUUACGCUAAUACCGCAUACGACCUACGGGUGAAAGCAGGGGAUCUUCGGACCUUGCGCGAUUGAAUGAGCCGAUGUCGGAUUAGCCAGUUGGCGGGGUAAAGGCCCACCAAGGCGACGAUCCGUAGCUGGUCUGAGUGGAUGAUCAGCCACACUGGAACUGAGACACGGUCCAGACUCCUACGGGAGGCAGCAGUGGGGAAUAUUGGACAAUGGGCGCAAGCCUGAUCCAGCCAUACCGCGUGGGUGAAGAAGGCCUUCGGGUUGUAAAGCCCUUUUGUUGGGAAAGAAAAGCAGCAGGUUAAUACCCCGCUGUUCUGACGGUACCCAAAGAAUAAGCACCGGCUAACUUCGUG
rnacentral:rRNA from 1 species